GUCCCAGCAGGAGCAGGCGAGUCCCACCCCUUCAGGGCCCCCCACAUUUCCCCUGCCAUCCAGCUCCUCAGACGCCCCCAGAACCCUUUGUGCUGGGUGCAGGAGGUGGCAGGACGGUUUCCAUGGGUGUUUUCAGGGGCGACUCAGUGGUGAUUUCUGGGUCCGUCUGACUUACUUGGAGAUGGGAUGGGAGACAGCGCACAGCCCCACUCAGACAGCUGGGGGCGACCUCCCACUCCUUUGUAGGGCUCAGACCUACAGCAGGGAUCCCCUGGGGCUGGGGUAACAGACUCUGCCUGUGUGGGAUUAGGGGGAGGGGUUCUCAUCCCCCCACUGGGUCUCUCCUCCAUUCCUUACAUCCCUUGCUGUUGCAGGUGAACACACAGAGGCUGAGUACAGCGCCCCCUGUGACUCAGCCCCUGACGCCAACACGAUGGAAAAUUCCCGCUGAAGCCCCCACCCCUGCUGGGCAGCCCCCUCCCCUCCCCUCCCAUCCUGAGAGCGCUGCACCAGGAGCCAGACACCCCAGGAUCGGGGGGGCAUGGACAGGCCUCGUCUCAGCUGCUUCUCUUCCCGGAACCAGCUGCACUAUCCCCCUUAGCACCUUCUUCAGCCAACGCCUCCCCGUUCUCUCUGCAAACAUCCCACCUGCUCUCCCAUCUCUCAGCCUCCAGACCGGCCUGCGUGAUCCCAGCUGUCUGUCACACGCGGGGACCAGUGGCUGCAGUGGGGACCCCUGGGGUUUGCUGCCCACCCUGCCUGGAGCAGCAUGUUCAGUAUAAAACAAAAUAUAAAAGCCCACUUCUU